rnacentral:rRNA from 1 species
GAUGAACGCUAGCGGCAGGCCUAAUACAUGCAAGUCGGACGGGAUUCAGGAGCUUGCUUCUGAUGAGAGUGGCGCACGGGUGCGUAACACGUAUGUAACCUACCUUUAUCAGGGGGAUAGCCUCUCGAAAGAGAGAUUAAGCCCGCAUAAAAUCACAGCACAGCAUUGUGUAAUGAUCAAAUAUUUAUAGGAUAAAGAUGGGCAUGCGGAACAUUAGCUAGAUGGCGGGGUAACGGCCCACCAUGGCGACGAUGUUUAGGGGAUCUGAGAGGAUGGCCCCCCCCACUGGUACUGAGACACGGACCAGACUCCUACGGGAGGCAGCCGUAAGGAAUAUUGGUCAAUGGGCGGAAGCCUGAACCAGCCAUGCCGCGUGCAGGAAGACGGCCCUACGGGUUGUAAACUGCUUUUAUACGGGAAUAAACCCAGAUACGUGUAUCUGGCUGAAUGUACUGUAAGAAUAAGGAUCGGCUAACUCCGUG